GCCCUACCACCGUAUGUGAAUGUGUAUGUGUAUGUCCAUGUGCAUGUGCAUGUGCAUGUGAUUGUGACGUAGGGG
rnacentral:miRNA from 15 species